rnacentral:rRNA from 1 species
CUCAGAACUUAAAGGAAGUUGACGGGGCCCGCACAAGCGGUGGAGCACGUGGUUUAAUUCGAUGCAAACCGAAGAACCUUACCUGGGUUUGACAUGUACGUGGUACGGAUCUGAAAGGUAAAGGACUUACUCUUCGGAGUGAGAGCGUACACAGGUGCUGCAUGGCUGUCGUCAGCUCGUGUCGUGAGAUGUUGGGUUAAGUCCCGCAACGAGCGCAACCCUUGCCUUUAGUUGCCAGCAGUUCGGCUGGGCACUCUAAAGGGACUGCCGGUGUUAAACCGGAGGAAGGUGGGGAUGACGUCAAGUCCUCAUGGCCUUUAUGACCAGGGCUACACACGUACUACAAUGGCCGAUACAAAGGGCAGCGACACUGCGAGGUGAAGCCAAUCCCGUAAAAUCGGUCUCAGUCCGGAUUGGAGUCUGCAACUCGACUCCAUGAAGUUGGAAUCGCUAGUAAUCGUGGAUCAGCAUGCCACGGUGAAUACGUUCCCCGGGCCUU